AAAUCUCUUUUUGAAAAUAGAUCUCACUUGCAAAAGUUUCACUUGUUUAUCAUUUAAUCACAAUGAGGGACAAUCGGAGUGCGUUUUGAGCGACAGCAACCGAGGACUGUCGGGCCAAAUGAUCUAUUCGCCGGGCUGGACUUACUACGAGCGCAAAGUUUACUCUGUCAAUUGCAGCUCGAAUUUUGAAUGCCCCAGUGGAAAGUGCAUUAAUCAGACAUCCGUGUGUGAUGGACGUGACGACUGUGGGGACCGAUCUGACGAAUGCGAAAUUGUUUGCCAAUCUCAACUUGAUUUCCAAAUUAGAUUAGCUGGCUCCAACAAGACCAACGAAGGCCGCGUAGAAGUCAAAGUAUUUGGCCGAUGGGGAGCUAUCUGUGAUGACCAUUUCAGUGCAAAUGCUGCCAACGUGAUUUGUCGCCAGUUAGGGUUCCCCUUAGG